rnacentral:lncRNA from 1 species
AACUAAUUAGACUAACUGAAUAACCGAGUAAUCAGCUUGGCGCUGCAUGAACAUAUAAUGUCUGUCCCAGUAGAACUUCCUGUUAAAGAACCAAUUACCCAGACGCUCCUCACACAGUCCUGUGGCACAUCAGUCGUGAGCCGACCCGCUGAUUCACCUGUGACAAGUAAAAAGAGAGUCUGACCGAGUCAAACCGAGGCGGGGGAUUAAAAAAAAACACCCCACAAGCGCCGGGUUCUGUGCGCCUCAGCACAGUGAGCCACUAAUUACUGCAGAUGAAAGCGACAAAGAGCCCCGCGCUGCGCGGCGCUGAGUGACAGACGGCAGAGGAGAACGCCGGAUCAGACAGAGACACGAGGCAGAGGGGGUUCCGCUGAAGUGGCCCCGCGGAGUAAUGACGGUCCGGUGCGUCGCCAUGAACAGGCCGGUGGGCGUUUGGAGGAGAGCGGGUCACCGCCGCAGCAGCACAAGUGUUUGUGCGCGUGUUGGUUGAAGAGGCAGCCAAAGAUCCGUUUUAUUGUACCGCUCUUCAACUUUGACCCCUCAUCUGCCUCCUUACAUCCUCCAGCGGGCAAGUCUGAUGUAGUAGCACAGUUUAAAGUUAAUAUUUUACUGUGAAACAGUCCCAGAGCUUUAAGGCGGCACCAGGCAACCUCAUACAUUAACGCGCCCGAAGAGCAACUCAAGAAUGUGAACCAGAUUUCCUAGAAACCCAGAGGUGCUACGCGUAAACUGCACACGUCAGACUGUAAAGCCUGACAUAUACGAGAUGGAGGAGCCCUUUAUCACUUCUGCACAGACACGCACCUCUGUUUUUGCUUUUUCACUCAUCUUUUUCAUGAUCUGAAAUCUCAGCACCACCAGUGAUUUAUUUCAACAAAGAAGCCUCACAUAGUUGUAAUUGAUUGUUGACAAGACUGGAAAAUGACUAGUGCAGUCAUUUGAUCGUUUGCGUAGUAUGUGGUGUUUGUUCAACUCAGUGAUUCUGUGCUGGGAGUCUAGACUAUAUAAUAAAUCAUGCAACUACAGCUGUUACUUAGACUAG